rnacentral:rRNA from 1 species
AACGAACGCUGGCGGCAUGCCUAACACAUGCAAGUCGAACGAGACCUUCGGGUCUAGUGGCGAACGGGUGCGUAACGCGUGGGAACCUGCCCUUAGGUUCGGAAUAACUCCCCGAAAGGGGUGCUAAUAACGGAUAAUGUCUUCGGACCAAAGAUUUAUCGCCUUUGGAUGGGCCCGCGUUGGAUUAGCUAGUUGGUAGGGUAAAAGCUUACCAAGGCGACGAUCCAUAGCUGGUCUGAGAGGAUGAUCAGCCACACUGGGACUGAGACACGGCCCAGACUCCUACGGGAGGCAGCAGUGGGGACUAUUGGACAAUGGGCGACAGACUGAUCCAGCAAUGCCGCGUGAGUGAUGAAGGCCUUAGGGUUGUAAAGCUCUUUUACCCGGGAUGAUAAUGACAGUACCGGGCGAAUAAGCUCCGGCUAACUCCGUG